rnacentral:rRNA from 1 species
UACGAAGGGGGCUAGCGUUGCUCGGAAUCACUGGGCGUAAAGGGUGCGUAGGCGGGUUUUAAGUCAGGGGUGAAAUCCUGGAGCUCAACUCCAGAACUGCCUUUGAUACUGAAGAUCUUGAGUCCGGGAGAGGUGAGUGGAACUGCGAGUGUAGAGGUGGAAUUCGUAGAUAUUCGCAAGAACACCAGUGGCGAAGGCGGCUCACUGGCCCGGUACUGACGCUGAGGCACGAAAGCGUGGGGAGCAAACAGG